rnacentral:rRNA from 1 species
GAUGAACGCUGGCGGCGUGCCUAACACAUGCAAGUCGAACGAAGAAGCCAAGCUUUCUGGGUGGUUUAGUGGCGAACGGGCGGGUAAGACGUGAGUAACUUACCCUUGACUCUGGGUUAAACAAGGGCGACUGGGCGUAGUACAUGCCAGGAACGUUCUUCGAACGGAGGGUGUUGGAGAGAUUUAUCGGUUAUGGAUGGCCUCGCGGCGUAUCAGCUUGUUGGUGGGGAAUUGGCAAACGAAGGCCGCGACGGGUAGCCGGCCUGAGAGGGUGACCGGCCACACGGGGACUGAGACAGGGCCCAGACGCCUACGGGAGGCAGCAGUGGGGAAUAUUACACAAUGGGCGAAAGCCUGUUGCAGCGACGCCGCGUGCGGGAUGACGGCCUUCGGGUUGUAAACCUCUGUCAGUGGGGAAGAAGCGGAAGUGACGGUACCUGCAGAAGAAGCAACGGCUAACUACGUG